UACGUAGGGACCAAGCGUUGUUCGGAUUUACUGGGCGUAAAGGGCGCGUAGGCGGCGUGACAAGUCACUUGUGAAAUCUCUGAGCUUAACUCAGAACGGCCAAGUGAAACUGUUGUGCUAGAGUGCAGAAGGGGCAAUCGGAAUUCUUGGUGUAGCGGUGAAAUGCGUAGAUAUCAGGAGGAACACCGAUGGCGAAGGCAGAUCUCUGGGCCGUAACUGACGCUGAGGAGCGAAAGCAUGGGGAGCGAACAGG
rnacentral:rRNA from 1 species